GACCAAGAACAUAGUAUAUGUUAGUUCUUGUAAUUUGCAUAGCGGAUCAGCAUAUCUUGGAGAACAAGUGCACAGACAUUUUGGAUACAUUAUUGCCAAUCUUCAGUUGUGCACAACUUGCACUACCAAUAACUCUCGGCAUCACUAUGAAAAAUGACUUUUUGAAUGCCUCUAUGGUUGGUUUAGAACAAGAAGUUAAUAUUUACUUUCAUGGCUUUGUCUUGUUUCCAAAUGGUCUAGGCUGUUUAGCUUGGUAUGCCACUUGAUCUGUAAAUUGGUGGAUGUUCUUUGAUAUCUGAUAUGUUUUAGGCAUGAAAUUCUGUUGAACUCUAAUUAUUUUUUUUCCAUCAUAUUCAAUAAUACAAUACUCCCUCCGUCCACGAAUUAAAGCCCUACUUGCCCUUAAAUUUUUGUCCACCAAUUAAAGCCCUAUUGUGCUUUUUGGACAAUUAUACCCUCCCUUACUUUUAAAAUUACUAUACUUUUACCUAUUGGGCCCACUUUACUCUACCAUUACUUAUGUAAUUAGUCUCCCCUAAACUUAUUAUUAUUGUUG
rnacentral:lncRNA from 1 species